rnacentral:rRNA from 1 species
UACGUAGGGGGCGAGCGUUGUCCGGAUUUAUUGGGCGUAAAGAGCUCGUAGGCGGUUCGGUAAGUCAGAUGUAAAAACUCCAGGCUCAACUUGGAGAGGCCAUCUGAUACUGCCGUGACUAGAGUCCGGUAGAGGAGCACGGAAUUCCUGGUGUAGCGGUGAAAUGCGCAGAUAUCAGGAGGAACACCAGCGGCGAAGGCGGUGCUCUGGGCCGGAACUGACGCUGAGGCGCGAAAGCCAGGGGAGCAAACGGG